UACGUAGGGUGCAAGCGUUGUCCGGAAUUAUUGGGCGUAAAGAGCUCGUAGGCGGUCUGUCGCGUCGGCUGUGAAAUCCCGAGGCUCAACCUCGGGUCUGCAGUCGAUACGGGCAAACUAGAGUAUUGCAGGGGAGACUGGAAUUCCUGGUGUAGCGGUGAAAUGCGCAGAUAUCAGGAGGAACACCGGUGGCGAAGGCGGGUCUCUGGGCAAUGACUGACGCUGAGGAGCGAAAGCGUGGGGAGCGAACAGG
rnacentral:rRNA from 1 species